CACUAACCUAAUUGUGAUUCGGGGUGACCCUUAAAGAAAAGUUUCCGUGCCUGCUCAGUUGACUAGAUUUAGACGUACUAGUCGGCACUACCAGAGGGGGAGAUCGGACCAGACAAGGGCAACACCAAGAGCACGUGUCGCACUUAGCAACCCAGCAGAA